GACGAACGCUGGCGGCGUGCUUAACACAUGCAAGUCGAACGGAAAGGCCCUGCUUUUGUGGGGUGCUCGAGUGGCGAACGGGUGAGUAACACGUGAGUAGCCUGCCCUUGACUUUGGGAUAACUUCAGGAAACUGGGGCUAAUACCGGAUAGGAGCUCCUGCUGCAUGGUGGGGGUUGGAAAGUUUCGGCGGUUGGGGAUGGACUCGCGGCUUAUCAGCUUGUUGGUGGGGUAGUGGCUUACCAAGGCUUUGACGGGUAGCCGGCCUGAGAGGGUGACCGGCCACAUUGGGACUGAGAUACGGCCCAGACUCCUACGGGAGGCAGCAGUGGGGAAUAUUGCCCAAUGGGCGGAAGCCUGAUGCAGCAACGCCGCGUGCGGGAUGACGGCCUUCGGGUUGUAAACCGCUUUCGCCUGUGACGAAGCGUGAGUGACGGUAAUGGGUAAAGAAGCACCGGCUAACUACGUG
rnacentral:rRNA from 1 species